AUUGAACGCUGGCGGCAAGCCUAACACAUGCAAGUCGAACGAGUGGCGGACGGGUGAGUAAUGUCUGGGAAACUGCCUGAUGGAGGGGGAUAACUACUGGAAACGGUAGCUAAUACCGCAUACCAUCGGAUGUGCCCAGAUGGGAUUAGCUAGUAGGUGGGGGAAAGGCUAACCUAGGCGACGAUCCCUAGCUGGUCUGAGAGGAUGACCAGCCACACUGGAACGGAGACACGGUCCAGACUCUUCCGGGAGGCAGCAGUGGGGAAUAUUGACAAAUGGGCGCAAGCCGAAUGCAGCCAUGCCGCGUGUAUGAAGAAGGCUUUCGGGUUGUAAAGUACUUUCAGCGGGGAGGCGUUACCCGCAGAAGAAGCACCGGCUAACUCCGUGCCAGCAGCCGCGGUAAUAC
rnacentral:rRNA from 1 species